GUGGGUAAAGCUCAGUGGGAGAGCACUUGCCUACCCAGACAUGGGGCCUUGGGUUCCAUCCCCAGUGCACACA
rnacentral:tRNA from 1 species